rnacentral:rRNA from 1 species
UGGUGGAGUGAUUUGUCUGGUUAAUUCCGUUAACGAACGAGACCUCAGCUUGCUAACUAGUCACAAGAACAUUCGUGUUCUUGGCUGGCUUCUUAGAGGGACUAUUGGCGUCUAGCCAACUGGAAGUUUGAGGCAAUAACA